ACUAGGGGUUCGUGGAGUGUAUCAUGAGCGUUCGCCUUGGCUCCCUGCAGGAUGAUUAGUGAGGCCAAGCCAUUUUCACAAAGACAGGUUUGACGGGAGACUCUCGGAUCAGUGGUGCAAAUAUGCAGAGAUACAGAUACAAGCUCAGGUACAGAUUGGGUCAACCAGCCCGGCUGUGUGGCAGCCGCGGGCACCAGGGUGGACGAGGGGGCAGUCCUGGGGAAACACAAAGGAGGCGGAGCGAGACGUCACACUGGCUCGGGAGUUCCCCGACCGUCCCCGCGCAGCACUAGGAAAACUGAUCUCAACAAGAAAAGCAUCAGCAUACCUUGGUCGUCCUCGGGACGUCGGCAGGACGAUGACACCAGGGUGGUGGCUACUGGGCUAUAUCCCCUCACCCUUGGCAGAGCCGCGGCCACUACGCUACCGAGUCUCACAUGUCAUAACACUGACACAGCGUUGUAACAGGAUGCGCAUGUCUUAUACGAGUUGUGUGUAUUUCCAAUCAUGCAUAUGUGUUUAAUUCUAGACUCAUUAGUCUUUUAACAAUCUUUUAUUAUGACACUUGUAUUUACAUAGCAUUAACGUUGCAAUAAAUUGAAUAUCACCUA